CGCACCAAACACCAAAUCGCAUUACAUUACAUCAACAACACAACGACCUUAACAUCUCUCUCUCCCCAAAAAACCCGUAAUUCUCACCCACUUUCUCUCUCUAAAAUCUUCCAAUGGUAUCCAAAAACCCGAACCCGCCCGAAGGUUUCUGCUUGGAUCCGAAUCCCAUGGCUGUACCCGGUUUCGGCCCCUUCGCUUCCGUUUCCGCCGCCGCCAACUCUUCCGAUGAUGCCUCCAAGAAAAUUCGCAAACCAUAUACUAUAACUAAGUCUAGAGAGAAUUGGACUGAACCUGAACAUGACAAGUUCCUUGAAGCUCUUCAACUGUUUGACCGUGACUGGAAAAAGAUUGAAGCAUUUAUUGGAUCAAAGACCGUUAUACAGAUACGUAGCCACGCACAGAAAUACUUUCUGAAGGUUCAGAAGAGUGGAGCAAAUGAACAUCUUCCUCCACCCAGGCCUAAAAGAAAAGCUGCGCAUCCAUAUCCUCAAAAAGCUUCCAAAAGUGCUCCUGUACUUCCACAAGUACCAGGAUCUAUUCAAUCUUCAUCGGCUUUGCUUGAACCUGGAUUUAUACUGAAGCAUGAAUCCAUACCAAUGCUUGAAACUCCUAUUAUGAACACUGUGGUGUCUUCAUGGUCAAACCACCCGUUACAAAAUACCAAUUUAUUGCAAGUGCCAACAGUAAAUAAUUCUUGCAGUAGCAGUGAAAGUACUCCUAAAGUGUGGCCUGUUGGUGAAUCUAAUAGUCAAGGGAAUAAAAUCCUUCCACUGAGAGUUCUUCCAGAUUUUUCUCAAGUGUACAACUUCAUUGGCAGUGUAUUUGAUCCAGAGGCAACUGAGCAUCUACAGAAACUUAAACAAAUGGACCGAAUAGAUGUUGAGACGGUGCUUUUGUUGAUGAGAAAUCUGUCUAUCAAUUUAACUAGCCCAGAUUUUGAGGAUCAUGGGGGUGUAUAAUUUAAGUAGACCCGAGGGGAGGUGAUGCGUCAUUUCAGUAUACCUCAGACGAGAAGAAGCUGCUUUCAUCCUAUGAAGUCGAUCAUGAGACAAAUAACUAUCUCAAUCCAGAUAGACUGAUACACGACGAACAGUUGAAGAGUGCUGCUACUUAAUAGAUGGGGUUGGAUUCAUAAGAUUGGUUCAUUUUUCAGCAAAUGAAUUCUAUAAUGUUGUAUUAGGUAAAAUGCAUUGGAAAGUCAAGAAGCUGAAAGGUUCCAGUCACAAGAUCUUGUACUAGUUUGUAAUUGCUGUUAGCAGCUAAGAAAAGCCUUGAUUCUCUUCAUUCAUUUUUAUGUCGUGUAUAUAUCAAACAACCUUGAUAUAAAAGACAAUAAAAAUGUAGAAAUGUAUAGUUUUUCUAGUUAUGAGAAGGUUCCACUACAAAUUAAAAUUAUUAAGCUUUGUGAAACAGUCUCAAAGACUACCUCAUUAUAUAUAGAAAAACGGAGGUAAAUCAACUAGAGUUUGUUCCUACCAGCACUGCUACAAAAUGACAAUUACUUGUACUCAAGGUUUUUUUUCUUUCAAUGUAAUCGAAUUCAAGUUUUGAA